CUCAAGACAAGCCCCCUUGUGAGACAAAUGUGAUCGCUGCCUCCCCUGGAGCUUUUUCAUUGCAGUUUUAUGAUGAGACCAGCGAGCGCAAAUUUAAUAUCUUUAUAUGUGAAAUACGUUACCUGGACUAUGGAAGAUCAUCAGGAUAAGGAAAUGAGGGAGAGAUCAAUAACAUGGGACUUUACUUGCUCUUUGCAUUCCGUGCACUUCCAACAGGCUUUGGAGGGCAAAGGAAGUUCCCGUUUACAAGAAGAGGGAAGUAUAUUGUGAUCUUGGAUCAUGGAGGAGCAGAUUCCAACACCAUUUCCCACCAUUGAUAUGUACACAAAGUAACUAAAACCACCUUCCAGUAAAUCUCAGCAGAUUGUAAGGUGUUCAGUAGCAUGGUUAAAUCAUUAAACAUGAUUAUAUUUA